rnacentral:rRNA from 1 species
UACGUUGGGGGCAAGCGUUGUCCGGAUUUAUUGGGCGUAAAGAGCGUGUAGGCGGCUUUACAGGUCCGUUGUGAAAACUCGAGGCUCAACCUCGAGACGCCGGUGGAAACCGUAAAGCUAGAGUCCGGAAGAGGAGAGUGGAAUUCCUGGUGUAGCGGUGAAAUGCGCAGAUAUCAGGAAGAACACCCGUGGCGAAGGCGGCUCUCUGGGACGGUACUGACGCUGAGACGCGAAAGCGUGGGGAGCGAACAGG